AUUGAACGCUGGCGGCAUGCUUUACACAUGCAAGUCGGACGGCAGCACAGAGAAGCUUGCUUCUUGGGUGGCGAGUGGCGAACGGGUGAGUAACAUAUCGGAACGUACCGAGUAAUGGGGGAUAACUAAUCGAAAGAUUAGCUAAUACCGCAUAUUCUCUGAGGAGGAAAGCAGGGGACCUUCGGGCCUUGCGUUAUUCGAGCGGCCGAUAUCUGAUUAGCUAGUUGGUGGGGUAAAGGCCUACCAAGGCAACGAUCAGUAGCGGGUCUGAGAGGAUGAUCCGCCACACUGGGACUGAGUCACGGCCCAGACUCCUACGGGAGGCAGCAGUGGGGAAUUUUGGACAAUGGGCGCAAGCCUGAUCCAGCCAUGCCGCGUGUCUGAAGAAGGCCUUCGGGUUGUAAAGGACUUUUGUCAGGGAAGAAAAGGUUGUUGCUAAUAUCGACAGCUGAUGACG
rnacentral:rRNA from 1 species